rnacentral:rRNA from 1 species
UACGGAGGGUGCAAGCGUUAUCCGGAUUCACUGGGUUUAAAGGGUGCGUAGGCGGGCAUUUAAGUCAGUGGUGAAAUACCUGAGCUUAACUUGGGAACUGCCAUUGAUACUAUUUGUCUUGAAUGUCGUGGAGGUUAGCGGAAUAUGUCAUGUAGCGGUGAAAUGCUUAGAUAUGACAUAGAACACCUAUUGCGAAGGCAGCUAACUACGCGAAUAUUGACGCUGAGGCACGAAAGCGUGGGAUCAAACAGG